CGUCGAGCUACUACGGUAGUGAAGUCAUUGAUGCCAUGCUUCCAGGAAAAGCCUCUAAGCUUCAGAUUGUAAGGAAUCGUACCCCAAACCGACACAGGUGGUCGGGUAGAGAAUACCAAGGCGCUUGAGAGAACUCGGGUGAAGGAACUAGGCAAAAUGGUACCGUAACUUCGGGAGAAGGUACGCUCUUGAUGGUGAAGUCCCUUGCGGAUGGAGCUGACGAGAGUCGCAGAUACCAGGUGGCUGCAACUGUUUAUUAAAAACACAGCACUGUGCAAAAUCGUAAGAUGACGUAUACGGUGUGACGCCUGCCCGGUGCCGGAAGGUUAAUUGAUGGGGUUAGCGUAAGCGAAGCUCUUGAUCGAAGCCCCGGUAAACGGCGGCCGUAACUAUAACGGUCCUAAGGUAGCGAAAUUCCUUGUCGGGUAAGUUCCGACCUGCACGAAUGGCGUAAUGAUGGCCACGCUGUCUCCACCCGAGACUCAGUGAAAUUGAAAUCGCUGUGAAGAUGCAGUGUACCCGCGGCUAGACGGAAAGACCCCGUGAACCUUUACUACAGCUUGGCACUGAACAUUGAACCUACAUGUGUAGGAUAGGUGGGAGGCUUUGAAGACGUGACGCCAGUUGCGUUGGAGCCGUCCUUGAAAUACCACCCUUGUAUGUUUGAUGUUCUAACGUUGGCCCCUAAUCGGGGUUGCGGACAGUGCCUGGUGGGUAGUUUGACUGGGGCGGUCUCCUCCCAAAGAGUAACGGAGGAGCACGAAGGUGGGCUAAUCACGGUUGGACAUCGUGAGGUUAGUGCAAUGGCAUAAGCCCGCUUAACUGCGAGAAUGACGGUUCGAGCAGGUGCGAAAGCAGGUCAUAGUGAUCCGGUGGUUCUGAAUGGAAGGGCCAUCGCUCAACGGAUAAAAGGUACUCCGGGGAUAACAGGCUGAUACCGCCCAAGAGUUCAUAUCGACGGCGGUGUUUGGCACCUCGAUGUCGGCUCAUCACAUCCUGGGGCUGAAGUCGGUCCCAAGGGUAUGGCUGUUCGCCAUUUAAAGUGGUACGCGAGCUGGGUUUAGAACGUCGUGAGACAGUUCGGUCCCUAUCUGCCGUGGGCGUUGGAAGAUUGAAGGGGGCUGCUCCUAGUACGAGAGGACCGGAGUGGACGAACCUCUGGUGUUCGGGUUGUGUCGCCAGACGCAUUGCCCGGUAGCUAAGUUCGGAAUCGAUAACCGCUGAAAGCAUCUAAGCGGGAAGCGAGCCCUGAGAUGAGUCUUCCCUGAUACUUUAAGUAUCCUAAAGGGUUGUUCGAGACUAGAACGUUGAUAGGCAGGGUGUGUAAGCGCUGUGAGGCGUUGAGCUAACCUGUACUAAUUGCCCGUGAGGCUUAACCAU
rnacentral:rRNA from 1 species